UUUUAUGGAGAGUUUGAUCCUGGCUCAGAGUGAACGCUGGCGGCGUGCCUAAUACAUGCAAGUCGAACGAU
rnacentral:rRNA from 1 species